GCUCAGGAUGAACGCUGGCGGCGUGCCUAAUACAUGCAAGUCGAGCGAACAGACGAGGAGCUUGCUCCUCUGACGUUAGCGGCGGACGGGUGAGUAACACGUGGAUAACCUACCUAUAAGACUGGGAUAACUUCGGGAAACCGGAGCUAAUACCGGAUAAUAUAUUGAACCGCAUGGUUCAAUAGUGAAAGACGGUUUUGCUGUCACUUAUAGAUGGAUCCGCGCCGCAUUAGCUAGUUGGUAAGGUAACGGCUUACCAAGGCAACGAUGCGUAGCCGACCUGAGAGGGUGAUCGGCCACACUGGAACUGAGACACGGUCCAGACUCCUACGGGAGGCAGCAGUAGGGAAUCUUCCGCAAUGGGCGAAAGCCUGACGGAGCAACGCCGCGUGAGUGAUGAAGGUCUUCGGAUCGUAAAACUCUGUUAUUAGGGAAGAACAAAUGUGUAAGUAACUAUGCACGUCUUGACGGUACC
rnacentral:rRNA from 1 species